ACUCAGAAUAGUUCCUGUGUUUCUAAUCACAUGGCAGCUGUUUGCGUGGUAAUAGUCUGCUCCGAGUUUUAUAGAAGCUGCGUUUCUUAAUUGAGUGCUUUGAAGAGUCUUAAGACCAUGCAGAAAGCAGAGUAGGGGCCCCCUCUCUGGCAGGGUUAGCUUGUAACACAGUUUGAAAUAUUUUUCAGGGAUGGUCACAGCCUUCCCUGUUAGUGUCCACAUUUCUUGGGAAGCAGUGGCCCAGACACAGGGCUCCUGCAAGCCUGGGCAUAAAACCUCACUUACGGAGGAAGCCUCGUUGGACCAGUGUGGGCCUGAGCUCUUCAUCACAGCUAGGGUCCUUCUCUAGCUUGUAGCAACAGAAACUGGCCCAGGGCUUUGCUUUUCUUCUGACCAGGUGGAACCUGAAUACGACACCCAUUUUUGAUUUUGCAAAAGGCAAGUCUUCCAGCUUCUGGGACAGACGCGUCUGACACCAGGGGAAAACUACAGUUGCGUGGUCCCUUACUCCAUCUGCCGGCUCUGCAUCCUUACCCUGUGCCCACCUCCUGGCUCUGGCUGGCUGUUGGCACCCCGCACCCGCGGGUUCCCUAUUGCAGCACCGGGAAGGCCUUUCGGGAGGAGAAGUGUUCCAGUUGCGCAGUUCCCAUUUGGAGACCAGGAAAAACCAAAAAUGACUUCAUACCCAAAUGCUCAAAUCAAUGAGAAGUGUUGGAUAAACUGACAGAUGUCAAAGCCCUCUCUUCUUCGUUGGGUGAAUAGUGAGACAUAUGUGAUAAAAUCAGGACCAGAUGGGUCUAAAAUGAUACCUCCACUCCUCUGGAAUGUGCCUGUGUGUGUAUAUAUACAUGGCUGAGCUCUUGUACGUAGAUUUCUCAGGAGGCAAGUAAUGUGGUCUGGUAUUCCAGAUACCAGAUCUAUUGAAGAGAGAUUUUCCAAAACUCUUGAAGAAUUUUCCAGUUUGUUGUGAUCCACACAGUGAAAGCUUUUAGAUGGUAAUUAAAGGAAUCCCAAAACAGGACCUGAGAAGUUGCCUUGACCAUCAGUGUUUUAAAGCCUCACCAUAUCCUGUUGAAAAGGCUCAUGCUUGACAGAGCCAUGUCCACCACAUCCUCAUGGGCACUCUGCUUCUUCCCAGAACGACUUCUCUGGUCAUGUCGUUGAUCAUAACUGAUGUUCUUCUUGCCUCUGGAAUCUCACAGCAUUUGAGGAAGACAAGGCGGUUGCAGAAGCACAGUCCAGGAGAAGGCCACAUGCCUACUAUCAGUGUGUCUUCUUCCUCUGCCUCUUUUCAAAGUGCCUCAUUCCAGGCACAGUUGUCCAACCUGCAAGGUGCAUUCCUCUUCACAGUGUAGCAGAACCAGCUUCCCAGAGGGAAUGCACUGACACACUGCAUCGUUUCCUAGUGAGUUCACCACUCUCAGUUUUUUCCCACAUACCACCUACAUCUGCAAGUGGUUUCUUGUCUUUGCUCCAAGAAUGUUCUGCUUUGGGAUCUCAGUGCUGUGCUUGGAACAAUGCUCAGAAAUCUAUUCCAGAUGGCCCCUCAUCUGCUAAUCUCUAGCUCUUUCCCAUUGCUGUGAUUCUGGAUGGGUGGCGUGGACCAAAAUCAGUAACUUCUUGCUUGAUGGUGGGCAAAGACAGCAAAGUUUCAGCAAAUGACCAUGAAUUUAAGGACAGGGAACAAAACCAUUUUUCUGUUGAUAGAAUAAUUUUUUACAAAGGCAUCUGGCUCCCAUGU
ensembl:lncRNA